rnacentral:rRNA from 1 species
GACGAACGCUGGCGGCGUGCCUAAUACAUGCAAGUCGAGCGGAGUGAUGAAGAAGCUUGCUUCUUCUGAUUUUAGCGGCGGACGGGUGAGUAACACGUGGGCAACCUACCUUGUAGAUUGGGAUAACUCCGGGAAACCGGGGCUAAUACCGAAUAAUCCAUUUUGCUUCAUGGCGAGAUGUUGAAAGACGGUUUCGGCUGUCACUACAAGAUGGGCCCGCGGCGCAUUAGCUAGUUGGUAGGGUAAUGGCCUACCAAGGCGACGAUGCGUAGCCGACCUGAGAGGGUGAUCGGCCACACUGGGACUGAGACACGGCCCAGACUCCUACGGGAGGCAGUAGUAGGGAAUCUUCCACAAUGGACGAAAGUCUGAUGGAGCAACGCCGCGUGAGUGAAGAAGGUUUUCGGAUCGUAAAACUCUGUUGUAAGGGAAGAACACGUACGAGAGUAACUGCUCGUACCUUGACGGUACCUUAUUAGAAAGCCACGGCUAACUACGUG